AUUGAACGCUGGCGGAAUGCUUUACACAUGCAAGUCGAACGGCAGCACGGACUUCGGUCUGGUGGCGAGUGGCGAACGGGUGAGUAAUGUAUCGGAACGUGCCCAGUCGUGGGGGAUAACGUAGUGAAAAUUACGCUAAUACCGCAUACGAUCUAUGGAUGAAAGCGGGGGAUCGCAAGACCUCGCGCGAUUGGAGCGGCCGAUAUCAGAUUAGGUAGUUGGUGGGGUAAAGGCCCACCAAGCCAACGAUCUGUAGCUGGUCUGAGAGGACGACCCGCCAAACUGGAACUGAGGCACGGUACAGACUCCUACGGGAGGCAGCAGUGGGGAAUUGUUGGACAAGGGGCGAAAGCCUGAUCCAGCCAUUCCGCGUGCAGGAUGAAGGCCCUCGGGUUGUAAACUGCUUUUGUACAGAACGAAAAGGUUUCUACUAAUACUAGGAGCUCAUGACGGUACUGUAAGAAUAAGCACCGGCUAACUACGUGCCAGCCGCCGCAGUAA
rnacentral:rRNA from 1 species